AACGAACGCUGGCGGCAGGCCUAACACAUGCAAGUCGAACGCGUCCUUGGGACGAGUGGCAGACGGGUGAGUAACGCGUGGGAACGUACCCUUUGGUUCGGAACAACAGCGGGAAACUGCUGCUAAUACCGGAUAAGCCCUUCGGGGGAAAGAUUUAUCGCCAGAGGAUCGGCCCGCGUUAGAUUAGCUUGUUGGUGAGG
rnacentral:rRNA from 1 species